rnacentral:lncRNA from 1 species
GGUGCUUCAUGGUUGAACUAUUCCAUCAGCUCAGCCGUAGAUCUGGUGCAACCAAUAGUAACUCCUCUCUCUCUAUCAUAGGGGAGCAAAAAGCCCAUAUGAAUUUUAUUCAAAAGCAACAAUUACAUAGAUUCAAACUUACAAAAUAGAGGGUAAGGAGUUAGUAAUUAAAUUGUGAUUAAUAAAAAUAGGAGUAGAGGACUUCC